GUGACAUACCACUUGUUGCCUCGGCGGAUCAGCCCGCUCCCGGUAAAACGGGACGGCCCGCCAGAGGACCCCUAAACUCUGUUUCUAUAUGUAACUUCUGAGUAAAACCAUAAAUAAAUCAAAACUUUCAACAACGGAUCUCUUGGUUCUGGCAUCGAUGAAGAACGCAGCAAAAUGCGAUAAGUAAUGUGAAUUGCAGAAUUCAGUGAAUCAUCGAAUCUUUGAACGCACAUUGCGCCUGCCAGUAUUCUGGCGGGCAUGCCUGUUCGAGCGUCAUUUCAACCCUCAAGCACAGCUUGGUGUUGGGACUCGCGUUAAUUCGCGUUCCCCAAAUUGAUUGGCGGUCACGUCGAGCUUCCAUAGCGUAGUAGUAAAACCCUCGUUACUGGUAAUCGUCGCGGCCACGCCGUUAAACCCCAACUUCUGAAUGUUGACCUCGGAUCAGGUAGGAAUACCCGCUGAACUUAAGCAUAUCAAUA
rnacentral:rRNA from 1 species